rnacentral:rRNA from 1 species
AAUGAACGUUGGCGGCGUGGAUUAGACAUGCAAGUCGUACGGGUCGGUGUAGCAAUACAACGGCAAGUGGCGAAAGGGAGAGUAACACGUAGAUACCUACCCUCUGGUCGGGGAUACCGCGGCAUAACCGCAAGUAAUACCCGAUAAAAUCUCCGGAUCAAAGGUGUGAUUCCGCCGGAGGAGGGGUCUGCGUUCUAUCAGCUUGUUGGUGAGGUAAUGGCUCACCAAGGCUAAGACGGAUACGGGGUGUGAGAGCAUGCCCCCGCUCACUGGGACUGAGACACUGCCCAGACACCUACGGGUGGCUGCAGUCGAGAAUCUUCGGCAAUGGGCGCAAGCCUGACCGAGCGACGCCGCGUGCGGGAUGAAGGCCUUCGGGUUGUAAACCGCUGUCGAGGGGAAUGAAGUGUGGGUGGGUACUCCCAUCUAUUUGACAGAUCCCUGGAGGAAGCAUGGGCUAAGUUCGUGCCAGCAGCCGCCGUAA